rnacentral:rRNA from 17 species
AAAUUGAAGAGUUUGAUCAUGGCUCAGAUUGAACGCUGGCGGCAGGCCUAACACAUGCAAGUCGAGCGGAAACGAGUUAUCAGAACCUUCGGGGGACGAUAACGGCGUCGAGCGGCGGACGGGUGAGUAAUGCCUAGGAAAUUGCCCUGAUGUGGGGGAUAACCAUUGGAAACGAUGGCUAAUACCGCAUGAUGCCUACGGGCCAAAGAGGGGGACCUUCGGGCCUCUCGCGUCAGG